rnacentral:rRNA from 1 species
UCGGGGUGCAGCAGGCGCGAAAACUUUGCAAUACACGAAAGUGUGACAGGGUCAUCCCGAGUGCCGACCGCUGAGGUUGGCUUUUACCCAGUCUAGAAAGCUGGGGGAAUAAGGAGAGGGCAAGUCUGGUGUCAGCCGCCGCGGUAAUACCAGCUCUCCGAGUGGUGUGGACGUUUAUUGGGCCUAAAGCAUCCGUAGCUGGCUGAACAAGUCCCCUGUUAAACCCACCGAUUUAAUCGUUGGUCUGCGGGGGAUACUGCUCGGCUAGGGGACGAGAGAGGCAGACGGUAUUCCCGGGGUAGGGGUGAAAUCCUAUAAUCCCGAGAAGACCACCAGUGGCGAAGGCUGUCUGCUAGAACGCGCCCGACGGUGAGGGAUGAAAGCUGGGGGAGCGAACCGGAUUAGAUACCCGGGUAGUCCCAGCUGUAAACGAUGCAGACUAGGUGUUUGGACGGCCACGUGCCGUUCUAGUGCCGCAGGGAAGCUGUUAAGUCUGCCGCCUGGGGAGUACGAUCGCAAGAUUGAAACUUAAAGGAAUUGGCGGGGGAGCAC